GUUCAACCAAAGAACUUCGUUGUCAAGAUGCCUCGUGCCUCGCGCGUUUCGGCUGCAGCCAAGGUGAGGAUGAGGACGAUUCUUCCGAUGGCAACGACUCUGGCUAGAGGCUUCCUCCCUGUGCGUGGCACUGGAGCUCGUCACCGUGUCAAGCCUUGGCCUGUCUCUGCCCACACUGGGAAGUUCAACCGAUUGGAUCUCCCUCCUGAGUCUCCAGAUAAGCAGGUAAACUUGUCAAAGACCUUUCAGAAAAUAAUGUAUAAUUUAGCUGUGGAAUAUGUUUGGAGUGGAAUGACAACUUUUUAUUUGUCCUUAUUUAUAGUUUGUGCUGUUUGUGGGCGACUCGCAUCUGCGUGCGUUGGUUGACCGUUACGUGAGGAUGCCAGACGGUUGCCUUUCGUUUGGGUUCCUGUCUACGCCUGGGGCGUCUGCCGCUGAGCUCCGCACUGAGUUGCUGAACGCAGACAUCCCCAGAACCCCCGACAUCGUUUGCUUGCUGGCUCCAAGCAACAACCCGGCGCCCGGCAUCGAAGCGGCUGGAGUUGCCUUCGAUGGACUUCUGAGAGCUGCCCGCAG